rnacentral:lncRNA from 1 species
CUUCUUUCUGUAAAGUUUCUUGGCAUGUUCAGGCAUUUAACUCAAAUUUUUAACCGUAUUAACAGCAUAACAGGACAAUAGGAGACUGGGGUAGAUAACCCUGAAGCAGCCUUCUAAGUUCAAUGAUUCCUAACAAGAUGGCUCUCCAACCAAUGGAGUAAAUGGACUUGACACCUAUCAGAUUCUUCACAAACCGGAAUCUGUUCCUGCAAUUACUAUUACGUAAGAGAGGAGUGGAGAAUAAUUCUACUUAUCUGAAGAUGCAACCACUCUUUCUUCACUAAUGCUGACAGCUUCAUGACGAUGUUUGGGCCCGUUUUAUUUGUUGAAAUAAUCUCUAAGCUGCACCUAUGGAGACUGUUUAGUGCAUAAGCAAAUUUCAGCAAUUCUUUUUUGUGGUAUGCUUUGAAUGUCCCUCCCGUGAUUAAACCAAUAAAUCGAAGUGUGUGUUUUGACUUCA